rnacentral:rRNA from 1 species
CCUACGGGUGGCAGCAGUGAGGAAUAUUGGUCAAUGGACGAGAGUCUGAACCAGCCAAGUAGCGUGAAGGAUGACUGCCCUAUGGGUUGUAAACUUCUUUUAUAUGGGAAUAAAAUGUUCCACGUGUGGGAUUUUGUAUGUACCAUAUGAAUAAGGAUCGGCUAACUCCGUGCCAGCAGCAGCGGUAAUACGGAGGAUCCGAGCGUUAUCCGGAUUUAUUGGGUUUAAAGGGACCGUAGGUGGAUUGUUAAGUCAGUUGUGAAAGUUUGCGGCUCAACCGUAAAAUUGCAGUUGAAACUGGCAGUCUUGAGUACAGUAGAGGUGGGCGGAAUUCGUGGUGUAGCGGUGAAAUGCUUAGAUAUCACGAAGAACUCCGAUUGCGAAGGCAGUUCACUGGACUGCAACUGACACUGAGGCUCGAAAGUGUGGGUAUCAAACAGGAUUAGAUACCCCUGUAGUC